rnacentral:rRNA from 1 species
UACGGAGGGUGCAAACGUUGCUCGGAAUCAUUGGGCGUAAAGCGCGCGUAGGCGGCUGAACAAGUUGGAUGUGAAAGCCCUGGGCUCAACCUGGGAUGUGCAUUCAAAACUGUUCGGCUCGAGUCUCGGAGGGGGUCAGAGAAUUCUCGGUGUAGAGGUGAAAUUCGUAGAUAUCGGGAGGAACACCAGUGGCGAAGGCGCUGACCUGGACGAUGACUGACGCUGAGGCGCGAAAGCGUGGGGAGCAAACAGG